ACACUCUUGUUUUUCUUCAGAUCGUAUAAAUCUUUCACCUUUUAAGAAAGAUUUAUGUUGAGAGAAACAAUAAGAGUUUAUCUCAAAUUUUUGAACCCCUUGGGAAAACGGGGCU
ensembl:snRNA U5 U5 spliceosomal RNA